rnacentral:rRNA from 1 species
UACGUAGGGUGCGAGCGUUAAUCGGAAUUACUGGGCGUAAAGCGUGCGCAGGCGGUUUUGUAAGCCAGGUGUGAAAUCCCCGGGCUCAACCUGGGAAUGGCAUUUGGGACUGCAAGGCUGGAGUGCGGCAGAGGAGACUGGAAUUCCUGGUGUAGCGGUGAAAUGCGCAGAUAUCGGGAAGAACACCCGUGGCGAAGGCGGUUCUCUGGGACGGUACUGACGCUGAGACGCGAAAGCGUGGGGAGCGAACAGG